GGGAUCAACACAAUCACUAAAAAAUUGUUUCAUGUUUAGAAUCCAUGACAUUUUCUCAUACUUCCAUGACAACAUUUCAUGCCUUAACAAAAUUUACUAAUAUUUUGCACUUGACUUGCACAAUUUUCUAAAUGUGAAAACGACAUAGGAGAUGAUAACAUUCAGGAAAUACAAUGUUAAUGGCAUUAAUGAAAGCAAAGUCUCUAUCACUAACAAUGACUUGUGG
rnacentral:lncRNA from 1 species